AUUGAACGCUGGCGGCAGGCCUAACACAUGCAAGUCGAGCGGAUGAAGAGAGCUUGCUCUCUGAUUCAGCGGCGGACGGGUGAGUAAUGCCUAGGAAUCUGCCUGGUAGUGGGGGACAACGUUUCGAAAGGAACGCUAAUACCGCAUACGUCCUACGGGAGAAAGCAGGGGACCUUCGGGCCUGGCGCUAUCAGAUGAGACUAGGUGGGAUUAGCUAGUUGGUGGGGUAAUGGCCCAACAAGGCGACGAUCCGUAACUGGUCUGAGAGGAUGAUCAGUCACACUGGAACUGAGACACGGUCCAGACUCCUACGGGAGGCAGCAGUGGGGAAUAUUGGACAAUGGGCGAAAGCCUGAUCCAGCCAUGCCGCGUGUGUGAAGAAGGUCUUCGGAUUGUAAAGCACUUUAAGUUGGGAGGAAGGGCAUUAACCUAAUACGUUAGUGUUUUGACGUUACCAACAGAAUAAGCACCGGCUAACUUCGUGCCAGCCGCCGCCGUAAAAC
rnacentral:rRNA from 1 species